UGAAUACGAGACGCUAAGGCGUCGAAGCAGUGUAUGUCAUACUUCCAAGAAAAGCUUGCACUGUCAUAAGUAAAAAAUGCCUGUACCAUAACCGACACAGGUGGGUAGGUAGAGUAUACUAAGGGGCGCGAGAUAACUCUCUCUAAGGAACUCGGCAAAAUAACUCCGUAACUUCGGGAGAAGGAGUACCUUAUUCUAUAAGGUUGCAAUAACAAGAUCCAAGCAACUGUUUAUCAAAAACACAGGUCUCCGCUAAGUCGUAAGACGAUGUAUGGGGGCUGACGCCUGCCCAGUGCCAGAAGGUUAAAGAAGUCGGUUAGCAUUAGCGAAGCUGGUAACUGAAGCCCUGGUGAACGGCGGCCGUAACAAUAACGGUCCUAAGGUAGCGAAAUUCCUUGUCGGGUAAGUUCCGACCCGCACGAAAGGCGUAAUGAUUUGGAUACUGUCUCGGAGAGGGGCUCGGUGAAAUAGACUUGUCUGUGAAGAUGCGGACUACCUGCACCAGGACAGAAAGACCCUAUGAAGCUUUACUGUAACUUGAAAUUGAAAUUGGACUUUAUUCGCGCAGUAUAGGUGGGAGGUGUUGAUUAUAAUCUUGCGGGAUUAUUGGAGCCAUCAGUGAGAUACCACUCUUGUAAUGUUAGAUUUCUAACUUUGAAUCAUUAUCUGGUCAAAGGACAGUUUCAGGCGGGCAGUUUGACUGGGGCGGUCGCCUCCCAAACGGUAACGGAGGCGUACAAAGGUUUCCUCUGAACGGGUAGAAAUCGUAUCUAGAGUGUAAAGGCAUAAGGAAGCUUGACUGUGAGACCUACAAGUCGAACAGGGACGAAAGUCGGUCUUAGUGAUCUGACGGUACUGAGUGGAAAGGCCGUCACUCAACGGAUAAAAGUUACUCUAGGGAUAACAGGCUGAUCUCCCCCAAGAGUUCACAUCGACGGGGAGGUUUGGCACCUCGAUGUCGGCUCAUCGCAUCCUGGGGCGGUAGUACGUCCCAAGGGUUGGGCUGUUCGCCCAUGAAAGCGGUACGCGAGCUGGGUUCAGAACAUCGUGAGACAGUUCGGUCCAUAUCCGGUGUAGGCGUUAGAAUAUUGAGAGGAGCCUUCUUUAGUACGAGAGGACCGAGAAGGACAUACCUCUGGUGUACCAGUUAUCGUGCCAACGGUAAACGCUGGGUAGCUAUGUAUGGAGUGGAUAACCGCUGAAAGCGUCUAAGUGGGAAGCCCACCUCAAGAUAAGUAUUCUCU
rnacentral:rRNA from 1 species